rnacentral:lncRNA from 1 species
GAUGGAGAGAGAAAUGGGAAGCAUUCUUGAGGCGGACGAGGAAGACCAGCCUUGAUUAGCUCUGCUUUGUACCUUCGAGGAAGACUGGACAGCUUGGCUGUUGAGCAGUUCAAUAAUGUAUACAUUAGAGUAUCCAUUUCCAUUUUUAGUUUAGGUUAAGUCCCUUGGUGUCUAACCCGUGCCAGAAGUUAUAUGUCCCUACCAAUGUUAUUAAAUCUGUAGUAGCAAGGAAAAAAAAAAAAAAACAUGACUUAUUUGGACUGUGAAUCCCAAAACAAUAUUCCCAUGUGGUAUUUUUAAAGCUAUAGAUUCCAAAGACGCUUAACCUUUAUUUUUCAGUUGGACCCCCAGAUCCAGAUGAAAUUGGUUUUUCAGUUAUUUCCUUUUAUAUGACUUUUAUCUUUUUUAAGAUUUACUUAUUUAUUCUGUGUAUAUAUGAGUACACUGUAGAUAUACAGAUGGUUAUGAGCCACCAUGUGGUUGCUGGGAUUUGAACUCCUGACCUUCGGAAGAGCAGUCGGGUGCUCUUACCCACUGAGCCAUCUCACCAGCCCUGGAACUACUUCUUUUAGGAUGAUAUUUCAAAUGCCUAGGAUAUUCAUGGCAAUUUUAUCAGGGAAAAAAAAUGAAAAUGAAAAUGAAGGAUUAGAGAGAUGGCUCAGCAGUUAAGAGCACUGACUUCUUUUCCAGAGGAAAUUUCUAGCAACCACAGGACAGCUCACAACUGUUUGUAACUCUAAGAUCUGAUAUCAUCACACAGACAUACAUAAAAUAAAAUAAAAUACAUUGAAAAUAAUCUAAGAAUAGACUAUAUUUACGCAUAAAAGUAUUUACUACAUGGGGAAAAGACCUAGAGGGGGAGGCAUGUGUGGAGGUGGGGAAAACAAACUGUGGCAUGCUUUGUCAUGCGCACAUUGUUUUCCUUGAGUCUGUUGAAAUACACAUUCACACAGGCCCUGAAAAGUGGGGGAGGGAAUGUUGACUGACAGUUUGGGGGCGAGCAAACAUGUGGGACAGUGACUAGGAGCAAAGUUCAGUGCUGUGCGUAUGAAAAUGCCAUAAUGAAUGAGACCUGUUUUGUAUACUUACAAAACCAACAUUAAAUAAAACACUAUUAGC